UGCAGGAGAAGCGCUGCAAUUGGCAAACGCUUUUCUGCAUCAGCCAAACGACUCCUCCAGCCAGAAGAGGGCACUUGCAAAGAGAAAAAAAAAAUAUAUAUGUGCACAUUUGCAAGGUUUUUUUCCCCCCCCUGCAGUUGCAAAUUUGAACGUGGCGACAAACGGAGCCUUUUCCCUUCCGCUUCCUGCAUCCAGCCCGGAGCGGCUCUGCGCAAAGGUGAGCCGCUGCAAAAAGCGAGAGGUGGGCAUUGCAACCCCGGGGAUCUGGUGCAGCAUUUCCGGCUUCUUGUGCAAAACAAGGACAGGGAGCAUCCUGCUCUUUGCAAAGGAUGGAUUCGGGGCCGCAAACGGCGGAGGCUCCUGUGUGCAUUUAGGUCCCCCAUUUUGAAAUGUGGAUGCUGUUGUGUUAAGGGAGGUUUCUUGGCUGCCCAAAAGCUGGAGGCAAUGAUAUUACCGGCUUUCCUAUAAGGCUUUAACGGGAUCGAGACGGCUGGAUGAGAUCUCGGGCGUCCUCCCGACAACCUUGCGAGAUCAGCUAGAGCAGG